GCGACGCGGCCACGCCCCCUGCCGGCCGAGACGGGCCAAGAAAUAUAAGAGGAUCAGAUUCACGAUCGCAGCGGUAUCAUCAUGAUCCUGCGUAAAAUAUCCAGCGCAGAAAAUGCGAGAAUCCUCAGCACUAAAGCUCAGAUCAUUAAGACCUUUUCCAAGCCAUGAAGUUCGGAGAAUAUGGAUCCAUUUGGAUGUUUAAUGAUGGACUGGAGUGCGGGCUGGAUGAGUCUUUCAAUCAAGGAAACAAACCAGUAUAAGCGAGGCAGACGGUCAGGGCGGGGUUCCACCGGAGGCAGCAUGGCGACGGGGCAUUUCGACGGCGGCGCUCAGUGGCUACUCUGGACGUGUCUGACAUUUACUGAAGAAUGUCUUUAUUAAAACAACUAAGGCAUUAUUCUUUAAAGUUUUUAAUGUGAAUUUGCUGCAUGAUGCUAAAUGCAGCUUACUAGUUCCUAUUAAAUGUAAUUAAAUAACCAUGUCCACCUUCUUUAAAAUAACAAAAAUAUAUCCUAAAUUCUUACACACUUGCCUGAUUCCGCAGUUCCUACACCCCCUACCCUUCCAUGGCUUGUGAGAUAAGAAAGCCCCCUUCUGUCUGCCUGGUCGAUCAUUUCUAGCCGCUAUAUAGGUUCUUCCUCAAAUCUUGUUGCCUAAAUGACUUAUAUCACACUCAUACUAAUUUAAAAUUUCGCUAUAACAAAACAAUCCUUAUACAUUUUAAGAAAAAACGUAAACUAUAUAUGCCUGGUGUUUUUUCAUACAGUUUGAUUAUCAAACUCUAAAGGCCAACCCUUGGGUGCAUGCUUGUGCCCAUGUCCUGUGCUGUGCUGUGUGUGUG